GGGUAACCUGCGGAAGGAUCAUUACCGAGUGUAGGGUUCCUAGCGAGCCCAACCUCCCACCCGUGUUUACAUCAUUACUGUACCUUAGUUGCUUCGGCGGGCCCGCCAUUCAUGGCCGCCGGGGGCUCUCAGCCCCGGGCCCGCGCCCGCCGGAGACACCACGAACUCUGUCUGAUCUAGUGAAGUCUGAGUUGAUUGUAUCGCAAUCAGUUAAAACUUUCAACAAUGGAUCUCUUGGUUCCGGCAUCGAUGAAGAACGCAGCGAAAUGCGAUAACUAGUGUGAAUUGCAGAAUUCCGUGAAUCAUCGAGUCUUUGAACGCACAUUGCGCCCCCUGGUAUUCCGGCCGAGCGUCAUUGCUGCCCAUCAAGCACGGCUUGUGUGUUGGGUCGUCGUCCCCUCUCCGGGGGGGGACGGGCCCCAAAGGCAGCGGCGGCACCGCGUCCGAUCCUCGAGCGUAUGGGGCUUUGUCACCCGCUCUGUAGGCCCGGCCGGCGCUUGCCGAACGCAAAUCAAUCUUUUUCCAGGUUGACCUCGGAUCAGGUAGGGAUACCCGCUGAACUUAA
rnacentral:rRNA from 1 species